AGUGGAUGGGGAGCAACCUAGUUGUGCGUGUGUAAAGGUAGUGCCAAGAAAAGCGGUGAUCAUGAUGAAAAUCAAUUCCCGGUACCCGAAACCGACACAGGUGGGCAAGUAGAGAAUACUAAGGGGCGCGAGGUAACUCUCUCCAAGGAACUCGGCAAAAUGACCCCGUAACUUAGGGAGAAGGGGUGCCACCGAGAGGUGGUCGCAGUGAAGAGGCCCAGGCGACUGUUUAGCAAAAACAUAGGUCUCUGCAAACUCGAAAGAGGAGGUAUAGGGGCUGACGCCUGCCCAGUGCCGGAAGGUUAAAGAAGUUGGUCAGUCUUAGGAUGAAGCUGCGACUGAAGCCCCGGUGAACGGCGGCCGUAACUAUAACGGUCCUAAGGUAGCGAAAUUCCUUGUCGGGUAAGUUCCGACCCGCACGAAAGGCGUAACGAUCUGGGCGCUGUCUCGGAGAGAGGCUCGGCGAAAUAGGAUUGUCUGUGAAGAUACGGACUACCUGCAUUUGGACAGAAAGACCCUAUGAAGCCUCACUAUAGCUUGGAAUUGUGUUCGGGCUUCCUGUGCGCAGGAUAGGUGGGAGGCGAAGAAGGUAUUCUUGUGGGGAUACUGGAGCCAACGGUGAGAUACCACUCUCAGGAGGCUAGAAUUCUAACUUAAUUAAGGACAGUUUCAGGUGGGUAGUUUGACUGGGGCGGUCGCCUCCAAAAAGGUAACGGAGGCGUACAAAGGUUCCCUCAGACUGGUUGGAAAUCAGUCGCAGAGUGCAAAGGCAGAAGGGAGCUUGACUGCGAGAAGUACAGUUCGAGCAGGGUGGAAACACGGUCUUAGUGAUCCGACGGUGCUGUGUGGAAGGGCCGUCGCUCAACGGAUAAAAGUUACUCUAAGGAUAACAGGCUGAUCUCCCCCAAGAGUUCACAUCGACGGGGAGGUUUGGCACCUCGAUGUCGGCUCAUCGCAACCUGGGGCGGAAGUACGUCCCAAGGGUUGGGCUGUUCGCCCAUUAAAGCGGUACGUGAGCUGGGUUCAGAACGUCGUGAGACAGUUCGGUCCAUAUCCGAUGUAGGCGUGAGAAUAUUGAGAGGAGCCUUCCUUAGUACGAGAGGACCGGGAAGGACGCACCGCUGGUGUACCUGUUAUGAUGCCAAUUGUAAACGCAGGGUAGCCAAGUGCGGAGAGGAUAACCGCUGAAAGCAUCUAAGUGGGAAGCCCACCUCAAGAUGAGUAUUCUGGUGUAAGGUCACGGGAAGACGACCCGUAAAUAGGCACGAGGUGGAAGUGCAGAGAUGUAUGAAGCCGAAGUGUACUAAUAGACCGUCGGCUU
rnacentral:rRNA from 1 species